GGUGAGGCUCUUUAAAUAGGAAAAAAGAAAAAGUUGGAUAGAGACUAGGAAUGUUUAUUAUAUAAUUUGAGAGGUAAUAUCUGUCGGUUUAAAGAGGCCAGUAUCUUGUUCUCUGAUAGGAGAUCAGGUUGGGCUGAGCCACGUUCGAAAUGACGAGAGGAGUUAUAUUCAAAGUGGCAUGAGGUUAACUGGAUCGAGUCACAAUCGAGAUCACAUGAACGCUGUGUUUGUACGCUUUAAAUAAAUUGCUUGCAUCUUUCUAAUAGCUUGAGUUUUUUAAAUUAAUAGUUAGCGCCAAUGAUCCGAUAGUAUCAAUAUUGAUGUUCUCCUUAGAAGAUGAAGAAAAAUGAAAGAUUUAAAAAUCACUACAAAGGAAUGUAUCUUUAAGAUGCAAAGAACAAUUCUUAAUUUUUAAAGAUAAAAACAUGCAUUACUUAUAUGAACUAUGAAUCAUUUUGAGUUGGCUAUACAAUUAGCGCAACUAUAAAUUCAUUAUAGUAAAUAAUUAGCUAAAAUUUUAAAAUCAAAGUGUCGUUUACUAACUCAAAUCAAAUAAAUUGAAAGAUUGGAUAGUAAAAUUAAAAUUUUGAAAGAUUGGAUAGCCGUUUUAAAAUGGUCCCUAGUUCAGGUAAGUUCUAUAUGCUUUUACUAUUUUAAAAUUGGU
rnacentral:lncRNA from 1 species